UCGGUCCAUCAAACAUACAUAUCUGAAGUUGUUUAUCUAACGACCAAAACAGUUAUUUAGCUAUGUGAAUUGUUUUUUUCCACCUGAUAAUCCAUAAUUAUGAGUUUGCCUAGCAAGUAUUGCACAUUUUCUCUUGAACAUUCUCAAAUUUGAUAAUCUUGUUACUUCUAAAUUAUUCAGAGUUGGCAUAUGCUGAAAGAAACACUUCGAGAAGAAGACAAAUUACACUCUGGUUACUAACCGUGACAUUUUGUUGGUAAGCCUUAUGGAAUCUUGUUCUAAGCACUAAGUUUACAAGAAUAUUUUGAGGUCCUCUGAGUUGCUUAUUUACUUAGUUAACAUAAGUUCUUUUUCUCCUGAUUGCUUUCUGAAGGAAGAGAUUUUGUUCUCGGUGAUUGGGCAUAGUGAUUUCGAUGCAUCGCCUGAUCUCAUUCUCACAGAGGAUAUCAAUGGGGUGAAUGCUGGUAGUCAACCUAUUGAUGCACAUGGACAUGAUGACUCUCUAGCGUUUAUGGACCAACCAACCUGUAAUCAUGGACCUUAUUGUUUUGUAGACCAUUUGGUGUUUCGAGUGUUUUGUAGCUUGCACUUUGUGCAUGUAGAUACAAACUUGUGUGUUCUGGACCAUCUGAAGUCUCUCAUAGUAACCAAUAGUCCUUAUCUUUU